CUUUGUCUGUAUAUACCUAUGCCCUCAUUGUUUUGUUGUCAGUUUACCUGUGUCUUUGGAUUAUUCCUUGUUUGGACAAUUUCCAUCUGGACUGCAGCUGAUUUUAGUUCACCUUCUUCAGUUCCUUUUUGAAUGCUGAGAAGAGAAGCACUAACGUGAGGUUUCAGCACCGUGUCCCUAACAUCCUCCUUCACUCACACACAGAUCAGGACUGGAUACGAGGAAACAGCUGGCCUGGCUCUGUGCAAAG